AUACGGAGGAUCCGAGCGUUAUCCGGAUUUAUUGGGUUUAAAGGGUGCGUAGGCGGCCUUUUAAGUCAGCGGUGAAAGUCUGUGGCUCGACCAUAGAAUUGCCGUUGAAACUGGGGGGCUUGAGUAUGUUUGAGGCAGGAGGAAAGCGGGGUGUGACGGUGAAAUGCUUAGAUAUCACGCAGAACCCCGAUUGCGAAGGCAGCCUGCUAAGCCAUGACCGACGCUGAUGCACGAAAGCGUGGGGAUCAAACAGGAUUAGAUACCCUGGUAGUCCACGCAGUAAACGAUGAUCACUAGCUGUUUGCGAUACACUGUAAGCGGCACAGCGAAAGCGUUAAGUGAUCCACCUGGGGAGUACGCCGGCAACGGUGAAACUCAAAGGAAUUGACGGGG
rnacentral:rRNA from 1 species